rnacentral:rRNA from 1 species
AUGUAAAAUGACUCUCGGCAACGGAUAUCUCGGCUCUUGCAUCGAUGAAGAACGUAGCGAAAUGCKAUACUUGGUGUGAAUUGCAGAAUCCCGUGAACCAUCGAGUCUUUGAACGCAAGUUGCGCCCAAAGCCAUUAGGCUGAGGGCACGCCUGCCUGGGUGUCACAC